rnacentral:rRNA from 1 species
AUUGGAGGGCAAGUCUGGUGCCAGCAGCCGCGGUAAUUCCAGCUCCAAUAGCGUAUAUUAAAGUUGUUGCAGUUAAAAAGCUCGUAGUUGGAUUUCUGUUAAUAAUUUAUAUAAUAUAUUUUGAUAGAUAUUUAUAUAAUAUUAACAUAAUUCAUAUUACUAUUUUUUUUUAGUAUAUGAAAUUUUACUUUGAGAAAAUUAGAGUGCUUAAAGCAGGCAUAUGCCUUGAAUACUCCAGCAUGGAAUAAUAUUAAAGAUUUUUAUCUUUCUUAUUGGUUCUAAGAUAAGAAUAAUGAUUAAUAGGGACAGUUGGGGGCAUUUGUAUUUAACAGUCAGAGGUGAAAUUCUUAGAUUUGUUAAAGACAAACUAAUGCGAAAGCAUUUGCCAAGGAUGUUUUCAUUAAUCAAGAACGAAAGUUAGGGGAUCGAAGACGAUCAGAUACCGUCGUAGUCUUAACCAUAAACUAUGCCAACUAGAGAUUGGAGGUUGUUCCUUACUCCUUCAGCACCUUAA